UAUUCUGGCCAACGUCCUUCGGUCAGCCACAUCCCAGGACAUACCUUGUUUAUCGGUGGCGUCAUGGACCCAAAAGCUUGUAUGCCCGUCGCCCGAGUAGCGGAGAAAAGCUACCUCCGUCUGAGUGAAUCCAUCACGCGUCGAGACACCACGCCGUCAUGCAAAGAAGACGACUACGCUGCAUCAAAUCAAUAGAUACACAUCAGAUUGACAAGAUGGGUGCCAUGGCGAAAGAAGAGAAAAGGAAGGAGCCAACUACCAACACAUUACACCAGCAAGAAUAUAGGAAAGCUAUAAAUGAGUCAGUAGAAUACACUCUUUAGGUGCCUUCUUCUCUUCUUCGGUUCCAAAAAGGUCAACAUUGCUGUCAUCGUCAUUAUCAGCUGCAGGAGCCUGCAAUAUACAGAAAUUUAUUUAUUUUAAAUGCAUGCCAUUUCUCCCUGAUCAUUAGUUCAUCUAACUUGAAGAUGUAAAGCUGGUGGCGUUUAAUCUUUUUCCAUAGACCAGGCAUUUGGGAGUUUAUUGCAAGCUAUACCAUCUUGAUGCGUAAUUGCAGAUUGUGUUCUUGCUAUAAUUUUUUAUUACUUCUAUGUUUUAUAAUAUUCCAUGUAAAUCAGAAUAUCCUUGAUGUACA